GUCACAGAUGAUAGAAGGUUGUUCUGCUCUGGCUUCAGCUCUGAGAUCAAACCCCUCACAUCUGAGAGAACUGGAUCUGUCUGAGAAUAAUAAUCUAGGAGACUCAGGGUGAAGCGUCUCUGUGCUGUACUGGAGGAUCCUCACUGUAAACUGGAGAAACUGUGGUUGUAUAAUUGUGGCGUCACAGAUGAAGGUUGUUCUGCUCUGGCUUCAGCUCUGAGAUCAAACCCCUCACACCUGAGACACCUGAAUCUGUCUGAGAAUAAUCUAGGAAAAUCAGAAGUGAAGUUACUCUCUGAUCUGAAAGAUGAUCCACGUUAUAAACUGGAGAGAUUAUACUACUGACUCUCAGUAUUUAGACGUCAGUUCAGUUUCCUCAGGAUCAGCUGAUG